AAAUGAUGCAGAUAUCUUCAAUAUCACACAAAAACCCUUAAUAAAUAAAAAGUUUUAAAAGUCUAUAAUAAUAUUAUUAUAAAUUUUGUGGAACAUUUCAACUCACCACAGAUUUUUCCUGGUAAAGCCUCAGACUUGGUUGAAGAUAUAAUUGACCAUCUUCCUUAGAGCUGCUAUCAUAACUGCCAAGGAGGUCCAUGUCCUCAUUAUCUUAUUGUCCAUUUGCUUUCAGAAAUAACAUUAUACAUGUAUAAAAAAAAAAUAUCAGAUGCACUUUACAGUUUUAACAAAAUCAGUUUUUUUGAAAAUUUCCCCUCAUCAAUUGUAGUUACCCACUAUUUCUCAAACCCUCCAAAUCUAUUAUCUAUAUAUAGAGCUCUGCUUACAUAUUUUUUUUUAUUUACAGAGCUCUAAAUAAUAGUCAUUUUAGCUAGUAUACAUCUGAUAUUUAAAGAAAAUGUGUACAAAAAGUGAAUAUUUAAAUAAAAAAAGUUAUAUUCCCUAUAAACACUUAGGAAAUUUAAAGUAUGAGGAGUAUAACAAGGGAAUUACCUCCCCUUGCCUUGAAAAUAUGACCCUGUCGAGACUCCACAUCCUUCCUAUAUUUAACAACAAUACAAAAUAUAGUAUAAUUAAAAUGAAAAAAUAAUACGGUAUGUAAAAACUACAACACAUUUCAAAAACUAAUUUAGUACUUUUAACUUUUACCUAAGGGCCUUAGUGGCAGUGGUCUAAGAAGUAUUAUUGUAUCUCUAGCAUGUCAAAAUGAGGUUGAGAAUUCAAACCCAACCUGUGGUAGGUGUGUUUGACUCAAAGCUUAAUUGACUAGAAUUGACAGUUCCCUGGGGGAAAAGUUGGUGGGUAUCUACUGUUACUUUUAACUUUUUCAACCCAUAAAAAAUGGCCAUCAAGAUAUUACAAAUUGGGCUGAAAGUGGCAUUAUACACCAAAAUUCAAUCAAUCAAUCUUUUUUCACCAAUAUGUUCCUUUACUCUGCUUCUUGUGAAAUAAUUGUAAUUUGUUUAGCUAAAAGCACUGCAAAAAAAUAACAAAAAGUUGUAAAAAUAUCUAACAAUUCAGGAAACUCAAAAAACACAAUACAUUUUUUUUUUUUUUUUUUUUUUUUUUUUUUUUAGAUUCUCCAUUCUGAACUGACUGGAAGCCUUUGGACUAGACAGACCAUUAUUAAGUUUACAAGUAAAAUUGGUCUGUUUCAUUUCAUUUUCAAAGUAAAAAUGAAAUACAGUUACAGGGGGUGGGGAAUAACGAAUAAGAUCUAAAUUAUGAAACAGUCUCCAUAAGCACGAUAAGAAAAGUAAGAGUAAUUUUGAAAUUUUAAAUACAAGCUUCCAAUCUAGUUGAAAAUGGAGAAUCUUUACACAUUUUUUUUUUGUUUUUUUUUGUUGUAAAAAAUUACAUUUUUUGAAACAUAUACAAAAAAUUUCUGACUAACAUUCUUCACUGUUAUAUCACAUAAUCAAUGUAUGCGGCAGCCAGAGUUUCCUGUAAAAGAAAUAAACAUUCUUAAACAAAUGAUCAAACCUAUAUAAAAAUUUAAACAUCAUCUGAUACAAUUAUUAGCAAAUAAGGACGAAAAAGUAAUCAAUGUGUGUCUUGAUUAAUUUUCGUUUAUUCUUUUUUAUGAAUCAUUGCGUUGGUUUUCGUGUUUAAAAUUGUUUCACAUUUUGUCAUAUUCAGUACCUCUUAUUGCUUACUUUAAAACUGGUACUGUAAAUCAGAAAUUAUUGCAUGCAUCUAUUCUUGUGAUUUUUUAAUAAAGAAUAAGACAAAAAUGCAAGAUUAAUAUUACUAUGAUUACCAGAUUUCAAUAAAAAUCUAAAAAUCAAAGUUAUGUUAUGAGAUGAUGAAUAAUGAAUGAAUGAUAUUCACUAUUGUGAUUUCAACAUAUUUCAUAUGUAAUUAUUGAUUAUUUUGCUCAUUGCUAAUCUGAAUGUGUUAUGCAUGAGAUGACUGUAAUUGAUUUUGCUCAUUGCUGAAGUCUUACGGUGACUGUAAGUUGCUUCUCUUAUUGAUAGUUGUGUAGUUGGCAAUCUUAUAACCUCUCUUUAUUCUUAUAUACCCUUAUGAUUACCGGUAUAAUUAAAACUUUUAAUUUGGAAAACAUUUUAAAAAUGUUAGAUCUACAUGUGUACAUAAUAAAAUCCAUGGUGCAUUUACAUACUCUUGGAUGAAUAGUUCAAUCUAUUUUUUAGUUCUUACCAUAAAAUUCAGCUCCAAUGGCCCUUUCCCAGCUUCAAUCCUUACAGACAAGCUGUAGUGCUAACCUGAAAUAUAAAAUGCUUAGUCAAUCAAAAUUGUUUUAAAGGAUCACUUCUGGAAUACUCUAUCUACGUUACAGGUAUAUAAAAUGGGUAAAAUAUAUAAUAAUAGACAUCAAACCAACAACCCAAUUCAAUCCUAUAAGGGGUAGGUUUAAAAAAGCUAAAGUUGGCCACAAGAUUUUAAUCUUUUUUGAUUCAGGCCCAAAAACUACAAAUUUGACAUAUACAUUGUUGUGGUAUCAUUAUUGAUACAAAAUAACCACAUCAUCUUUUUGGCACCUCACAAUAUAAACUACUAAGUUAUGACCUGUUGAUUAUGCAAUUCUGCUGUUUUCGCAAAAGCGCCAAUGAAGGCCCAAUUUUUCACAAUUCAGAACUUUUUUUAGCAUAAUUCACUUUCCCUGAUCCAGAAAUAGUUUAUGUCUUGUAAUUUAAAUAUUACCCUUAGCACCUUUAGUUUAUUAAACAUUUUGGACCAAAGGUAUUCUUAAAGCUUUUAGGUCAGAAAAUCCAUAAAAUCAUCGCAUUUUGAUGAUAUCUCCCAAUAUAGUUAAUUAUAGAGUCUACAAUGUAUUAUAAAGAAGCGAUUUAUUUUAUGUUGCAUUAAGUCUUUUGAAAGAUAUCCAUUGAAGAACCAGAUGGGGCAUUUUUUGAUAUUCUAUGAUAAAGGCUGAAAUUUAAAAUCUAUACUAAGGCCAUAUUUUGCCAAGUGAACAUUGUCAUAUAUGGUACUGAUAAAAUAAAGAGUAUACUGUUGACCAAACUCUUAUAAACCUUUAACCCUAAAGUCAGUAUUUAUUUCCAAAUAAUAUUAUUUAUAGAAUUAUUUUCUUUUAAACAGGAUUAAUAUUACUGGUACCUACCUACAUAUUAGCUGUAUUAGACCACCAAGUCUUAUUCCCACACCAUGAAAACAUGCCACAGAAAGUAUCUAAAAAGAAAUUAAUACAUUUAUUAAUUUUACAAACUAAUUUAUAUGUCAACCUAAAGAUUACUUUACAAAUUGUUCUGAUUUCUUACUUCAUGUACCAAUAGUUUAACAUUCACAUAUUUUGUAAUAUUUAUAUAAAAGAUUGAAAAACAAACAAAAAUAGUCAAAGGUUUAUGAUUUGAAUUCUGCACUCAACUACUUUGAAUAAUGAAAAUGAGUUGUCUCCCAUUGAAUAAACAAAUCUUGCUGUUAAUUAAACUAGUCUCCCCUUGAAAGUUGAUUCCUAUCUCAGGAUUUACUCUCGUAAUUGUAAUAGAAAUUCUUGUUAAUGUACCUGCUAUCUCAAAAUAUUAAACUUGUAAAUAAAUUCUUCAAAGAUGUUUUUCAUGCAGAAAAUAAAGAUGAAUAUGUACUUUUUAACAAUUAUACACAUGUAUUUCUAGAAAAUGUAUAGAAAUUGUUUGACUUCAAUAAACUUGCCUUCUCAAUUUCAUGGUUAAGCCUCAGACUUGGUUGAAGAUUUUAUUGACCAUCUUCCUUUGAGCUGCUCUCCUGGCUGCCAGGGUGGCUGUCAUCAUUAUCUUAAUUGCAAUCUUUCAGUUUUUGGUCCAUUAUUUAUAGAAAUAAAUAAAAAAUAUCAGAUGCACUCUCAAUUAAUCACAUAUCUUGAAAAUUUCACCAAAUCAAUUCUACCCGUAAUGACCCAUGAUUUCUCCCACCCUCAAAACUAUUAUCUAGACCUCUGUUUACAUUUUUUUUAUUUACAGAACUCUGAAUAACAGUCAAUACAUUUUUUUGUAUUAGCUAGUAUGCAUCUGAUAUCAAAGCAAAAACAAAUGUGAAAAUCAAGUAAAUAGUUAUAUAUUCCCUACCAUGAGGAAAUUUCAAGAAUGAGGAGUUAAACAGGGGAAUAAUUUAUUACCUCCCAUUGCCAAAAAUUUCACCUGUUGGGACUCCACAUCAUUGCUAUAUCUAACAAAAAUACAAAAUGGUAGAGCUAUAAUUAAAAAUAAAUAAUUUGAUAUAAAAUAUUCAAACAUUUACAAAAAAUAUUUAGCACCUUGGUGGUUCUCUCCCAUUACUCUGACUUUCUCAACCAUUAAAAAAAUGGUCACCAAGAUAUAAUCAAUAUUGCUGAAAGUGGUGGUUAACACUAAAAAUCAAUCAAUCUUUUUUUCACCAGGAUGUUUCUUUACUAUGAUUAUUUUGAAAUAAUUUGUUUGAGCUAAAAACAAUGCUAAAAAAAAAAAAAACAUUGGAAAAAUAUUUAUAUCAUACAAAUAAGAAAAAUAAAAAAAAUACAUUUCUUUUUUUUUUUUUUUUUUUUUUUUUAGAUUCUCCAUUCUUAACCUACUGGAAAUGUUUUGAAUACACAUGGACCAUUAUUAAGAUAGUCUCAAGUAGGUCUACAAGUAAUAUUGUAAAAUUCUGAAGUAUCAAUUUAGCAUACAACUUCCAGUCUUGCUGAAAAUGGAGAAUCUUUACAUUUUUUUUUUUUUAUUUGUGAUAAAAAUUAUAAACAUUUUUUCAAACAUACACAAAAAUAGUCUGAAUUACAUUCUUUUUUGUUUCAGUUGUAUUGCACAAUAAUUUCCUGCAGCCACAGUUGAAGUCACCUGAAAAAGAAAUAUGCAUUCUAAUAUCUGUCAGAACAAUAUUCAAUGCAAAGUAACUGGUUAUUGCACUGAUGAUGCAUAGAAAAUUGAUUUACUUUGUUUUAAAGUGAUGUGUUGACAUGAAUUUACAAACAACCAGUCUUCUUUAGCAAACAAGGGAUGACAAGUAGUUGGUUGUUGUCCAACAUAUUUGUUAUUAUUUCAUUGUUUCAUCAUAAAUCUAGCUGUUGGUUUUCUUGUUUGAAUUGUUUCACAUUUUUUCAUGUCGCCUACUUUCUGUUUCAUAGUUAAUUGUAAAGUAUAUGUUUUGCUCAUUGUUGUAGGCCAUACAGUGACCAUUAGUUGCUUACAUCCAUGUCAUUUGGUCUCUGGGAGAGUUAUUUCAUUGACAAUGAUCUUCUUACUUUAUAUGGGACAAUUUUAGAAAACAGAUUUUCUAAGUAACAGUAUAAUUUUUUAUUUCCUUUAUUUAUCUUCAUACCUCCUAAUGUCCUCCUUCCAGAUUAUAUAUACGAUUAUAGUUUUAAGAAAAAUUAAAGUAUACUACUUCUCUGCAUAAUUAAAGUAUAAUACUUCUUAGCAUAAUGAAGAACUAGGUUUGUACAUGCUCUUUGCUGAAUAAUUCAUUAAUUUAUGUACUGGUUCUUACCAUAAAAGCCAGCUCCAAUGCCCAUUCCCAACUUCAAUCCUUACAGACAAGCUGUGAAGCUAAUCUGAAAUAUAAAAUGUUGUCAUAUUAUUAAUAAAAUGGUUUAAAAGGAUCACUUGUUACUGUAUUAAAAUUAAAAAGAAAUGGGUUAUAUUCAUGUACUAGAUGUUGAGAACAUAUUGACUAGACAGCAAUCCAACAACAUAACAAACCAAAUAAUCAUGUUAGAUCCUUCAAUUUACACUAUACAUUGUAUUUGUACUGAUAUCAAAAGAGAGGUAGAAAUAAAUAACAGAAAUUUAGUGUUUGAUUAUUUCAAGGCAAGGAAAGUAAAAAAUGGAUCUAAUUAUUUUUUAUACAUGUACUACAUUUAUCUUUUUUUUCUUUCUUCUUUUCGAAACUGUAUACUGGUACCUACCUAUAUAUUAGCUGUAUUAGACCACCAAGUCUUAUUCCCACACCAUGAAAACAUCUCACAGAAAGAACCUAAAAUAUAAAAAAUUGACAAUUUAUAUACUUUAUAUUUCCAUUUCCCCUACAUUUACCAAUAUUGUUCAGAUUUCUGACUACGUGUACACAAAAGUAUAACAUCAAUAACUGUAAAAUCAAUGUAAAAGAUGAAAAAUAAAAAAAAAGUCUUAUAAAUUUACUUAUUGAAUUUCAACUCCACAAAAAUAAUGGUUUAAACAUAUUUUAUUGUUCAUAAAGGUAAAUCAUCUGCACAUUUUACAAUGAGUUAUCUCCCAUUGAAAGGCAAAAAAUAACAUUUUACGUUAGCAACAUCACUUUCUCCACUGUAACUGCGUUGUAUGCUCUAAAUAUACACUUUUUAUCAAAUAAUGUAUAGAAUGUAUAGAACUUGUUUGACUUAAUUAAACUUGCCUUCUUAUUUUCUUGGUAAAGCCUCAGACUUGGUUGAAGAUUUAUUUAACCAUCUUCCUUGGAGCUGCUACCAUGGUUACUUUUUCAUGCUUUUCAACAUAAUUCUUUGUGCUGGUCAGUUCACUGAAUCCAAUUUAUGCACUUAACGAAAUGUCCUUUCCAUUGUAUUUAAUCAAGUGUACAAUUGUCCCAAGAAUGUUCCAAAGCAUCUCACAAUAUUUUCUUUUUCCAUUCAUGGCAGUUGAAGUAAUUCUCAAUGUAAUAUACAAAUAAUAUUUUUAAUUCAUACAUAAAAUACAGUAAAAAUACCAGAUGUGCUUUUAAAUUGGUAACCUGUAUUUUCUUUUAUUUAGAGAGCUCUAAAUAAUAGCUCUUAUAUUAGUUUGGAGACAUCUGAUAUGUAAAGACCUAAAAAAAAGAGGUAAUAAAAAAAGAACAGAAUAGUAAUUGGCUAACACCUAUAAAUCACAAACAUUUUCUAAUAUUUUGGAGCAUAGUUUAAUAAAAUAUCCCUUCUUUUAAGUUUAUCAUCAUGCACAUCAUAAGCAUGAAAAUUAUACUCCAAAAAUUGAUCAUAGCCUGAAGUAGCUCAGUUGUGCAAAUUCAUAUUUUCCUUUAACAAUGGAGAAUGGUCUUUUAAAUACUGAAAUUUAAAUACGGUAUAUGGAAUUUUAAAAGGUCAAAAAUUGGUGAUGACAAUCAAUCUUAAUCAAUUUGCAUGCUCAUUAUGAGAGUUCUAAAGAUAUGAGUUCGAAACAAAAAUUGUUACCUUCUUAAAAAGAUUUUAGAUAAAAAGCUCCCAAUUCAAGAAAAAUUAGAAAAAUUAUAAACAUUUCAAACUGCAGUUAAGUUAUAAUUACACAAAACUGGUACCGUCUGUAAAUUUUAAUAAAAGUGGGGAAAAUUCCUCAAACAAUUUCAUACUAGGAGUUACACAACUUCAACAUGAGUGCAAUCUUUCAUUGAAGUUUUGAUGGUACAAGAAACACUGAAAAUAUAAAAUACAAAUUUAUUAAAUGCAAAAUAGUGGUAUGAAGUAGAAAAUCUUUUUAGGACCAAAUUUAGAAAGAAAAAUUGUGAACUAAAGAAAUGGUAAAAAAAUGCUGAUUCUUUAGAAUAAAAAAACAAUUGUCCAAAUUCAAAUUGCAUGUGAUAAAAAUCAUUAAAUUUUAAACUUUAAUAACUGAAGAAAAAAGUUCCAAAAUUUACAAUUCAAAAGAAACAUUUUUGUUCCCAAAUCAAGUUUGAUACAUGUAUCAUAUUAAUUGGUGAUGUCAAAAUUUUGUUUUUCAUAAGACUGCUUCCAAAAACCUCUGUUUGAAAAGAAGAGAAAUCACUGAUAUCUUGACAUUAAUAGAGAUGGACUAGCACAAGGUAACUCUUGGAAUGACUGGUUCCUUAAAUGGAGGAUAACAGUCAGAACUAGCUCCAGUCAAUACACAGACAGGAAACAGCUCUUUUUGGCCAUUUGUAGAGGAAACAAAUCCCAUGUAAUAACGUAAAUAGUUUUUUUCCAUCUUCAAAUGAUAAAAAAAGCAAUUAUUUAAACCCCCAGGGGUGGUUCAAGCCAUUUCUAAAGAGAGGGGGCUCCCACCAAGGAUAAAAGGCAGGGUUCAAACUAGUUUAUGUUCUGAUUCAAUUGCAUUGAUCAUCAAAAAAAUUGUAAGGGUUCCCCAGAACCCAGUGUCUCAACGACUUUUGCUGUUAAUCCCAGGCUCAACAAAAAUGAGGGGAAAAAAAUCAAUAAAAAUAUUCCUCUAGAUAUUAUCUUUUGAUUGUAAGAAGCUUCUGUCCAAGUUUGGUAAAAAUCCAGGAUAGUUUAUGAAUCUAAUAAAUGUUUUAAAAACUUUAACUUCAGAUUGUAUUUAAGGUUAACUAAGUCCAUUUAUAAGUAAAAUACGGAAAAACAGGAACAAAGUUUUAAAUAAUUUUCCUUCUAGAUACUAGCUUUUGAUCGUAAACAAGCUUCUGUCCAAGUUUGUUACAAAUCCAGAAUAUUUUAAGAAGUUAUUAAAAUUUUAAAAACUUUAACCACAGAGUGAAUGUAUUGUAUCCUGGCAUUUAUAAGUAAAAUAUGGAAAAAUUAAUUUGUUUUAUUUACAAAAUUUACUUCUGGAUACUAUCUUAUGAUCAUAAACAAGCUUCUGUCGAAGUUUGGUAGAAAUCCAGAAUAGUUUUAGAAAGUUAUUAAAAUUUCAAAAACUUUAAGCAAAGAGUGAAUAUUUGUGAUCGCCAACGACGACGCCGCUGACAGAAUGUAGGAUGGCUAGGUCUCAUUUUUUUCAACUAAAGUUGAAGGCUGGACAAAAAGUAUUAAUGGUAUUUUACAUUUACAGUUACAUUAAGUGAAAUUCCCAGUAAAAUAUAUAAUCAGCAAAAUGCAUAGUAUUUUUUUUUUAUUUGAAUUGUCUAUAAAAGAUUCACUUAUGAUAAUUCUUAUAACAAUACUUCAGGGAUUGUUGGAGUAAUUAAACUAUAUUGGCAUGUUUUAAUUUCUAUGGCACCUUCAUCAGAAUAAAAACUAAAGAGUACAAAAUGGUGAAGUGAUAAUUUGUACUUCACAAUGGAGGAAAAAGAAGGUAAUAAUGGGAGUAAAGUUUAAAAAGAAUGUUAAAUAAAAUUUGUUGAAUAGUGUUUAAUCAAAUUUUGCAGAGGUACAUGCUUCCAAUUGGCUUCGCUCAGAGUUACUGCCUCUAAUUGGGACCACUCUGCCGGGGGUACUGCUUCUAAUUAGCUUUAGCAGACAGAGGUAUAUAUGUACUGCUUCCAAUCAGCUUCGCAACAAGACAGAGGGUAUGUGCUCCCAAUUAGCUUCACUAAGAGGUACAUGCUUCCAAUUGGCUUCGCUCAGACAAACAUACUUCUUCCAGUGUUGAAAUAGUACGGUAAGCAAGUCUGUACUACAUCCAGCAUCGUAAAUGGUACAUAAUUGCAAGUCAAAUGUCGUCCAAAUUUACAAAAACAUAUUUUAUUUAACAUUCUUGAUCCAGUUAAAGUUCACAUCUACGUUCACUCCCUAUUUGUAAUUUAUCCUGAUGGUGUCAUUGUGAAAUGCAAAUUAUCAUUACAGAAUUCUGUACUCUCCUUUAGUUUCAAUCCUGAUGAAGGACCCAUAGGAACCAAAAUAUGUCUAUCUUAUUGAUUCACUGUAGCAAUCCCUAGUCUUUUUCUUAUCUUUUGAUUGAAAGAAGCAUCUGUUCAAGUUUGGUAAAAAUCCAGAAUAGUUUAUGAAUCUAAUAAAUGUUUAAAAAACUUUAACAGCAGACUGUAUGUAAUGUUAACUUGAAGAAAAACUAAGUCCAUAUAUAAGUGAAAAACAGAAAAAAUGGAAUUUUAUUUUUACAAAAUUUACUUCUGGAUACUAUCUUAUGAUCAUAAACAAGCUUUUGUCCAAACUUGGUACAAAUCCAGGAGAAUUUAAGUAAGUUAUUAUAAAUUUUAAAAACUUUAACCACAGAGUGAAUGUAAUGUUUCCCAGGAGAAAAACUAAGUCCAUAUAUAAGUGAUAAACAGAAAAAAUGGAAUUUUAUUUUUUACAAAUUUACUUCUGGAUACUAUCUUAUGAUCAUAAACAAGCUUUUGUCAAAAUUUCAAAUUUUUAUAACCACAGAGUGAAUAUUCGUUGUCGCUGCCAAGGACGACGCAGUCGACGGAAUGUAGGAUUGCUAUGUCUCAUUUUUUCAACUAAAGUCAAAGGCUUAUAUACAACAUUUGAGGCUUAAUGAUAAAACUUGAUUUCAAGUAUGUUGCAAGCAAAAAGUGAAUACUGUGGAUUCAUUAUUAUUGACAGUUUUUUUAUUUUUUAUUCAUGUGAACCACAAAUUUUAGUUUUUCACAAGAUUAUUUUUUGGGGAUUUGUAUGGAGAAUUUGUAAAAUGUCUGAAUGAAAGCAUAUUAUUGGGGAUUAGAGUUGAAAAAUUAACCCAAGAAUGAGAUAUCUAACGCAAAUCAGAUUUUACUACCAUUUAACGCUAGGGAUGAUUAUUUAAAUUUCUCUGGGAAAUGAUGAUAGUUUUAGAUAACUCAGAAUGAAAUUUUUUUUUUAGGGGGUGUGUGAAAUGAUUUAAUUAAUUGCUUUCCCAUUUGGUUAAAGAUUUAAGUGAUUUUUAUAGAUAAGAGAUACAUCCAAUUAGAUUAUAAUUUUGAAAUGUUACUUUUACUUCACCAUUACCUUGUUGUUCGCAAUAAGUGCUUUAAAGAAACAGAUACCCUGAAAUAAUUUUGUUGACGCUCAAGUAAAUAACAUUUUGGGACAUUUUUCACAAUACUGUAUUUGAAUUCAAUCUAAGAUACAAAUAUCUAUUUAAUUUUUCGUGUUUCCAAUACAUCAUAAUAUGUCAAAUACAAUUUAGAAUUUGAUUUAAGACAUUUGCUUUUGACAUUGUUUCAAAAAUUAUAAAAAGUUCAAAGUAGCUUUAAGCUCCAAAUUGUUUUUUUUUAAUAUUUAAAUGACCGUACAAAUAUCAAAUACUUUCAUUUCAGAAUUACAUAUGAAGAUUCCUUUGAAAGCAGAACACUUGAAAACCAUAACACCAUCCAAAGAACAAAUGAAAAAACAGAAGAAAUAACCAGACCCUAACUACUGAAAGCUACACCAAAAAGAAACUAUG
rnacentral:lncRNA from 1 species